UUGGCAGUCUUCUCAGAGCCAGGGUGUCAGGAGGAGUUCAAUGAGUUCAAUGUCAGAAGCAGGAUGGUGCAACGAAGAAGGGUUCAGUGUGAGGGGAUCCAGGCUGGAAAGUGGAAACUAAGGCAUUCGUCCUGCAGAGCUAUUCUUCAUCCACGUCUGUUACAAACUGUGAAUGGUGUUCGGGUGACUUGCUGUGCGUUUUGCUUAGGUGGAGUUUUACCGCAUGUUUGCUCACAAAUGUCCGACAGCACAACUUACACUUGAAUUUAGAGUCUGUGUCCUCUUCGGCAGCUAUUGUUUCUGGAGACCUCUGAGCCGACGAUACCCGGGAGAUCUCUUGCUCCACCUUGCUUUGCUGGUCCACUGACAAGCGGGUCAUGUCCUUCAUUUGGAAACCCAGGUGAGAUUCUAAGUGACUGAUGUAGGUAGAAGGGGUUCUGAACUGGGAGGCACAGUCACUGCAAUAAAAGAUGGGGUGGCCUUUGUCCAUGUUUUUCAGAAAUUUUGUCCCGCCCGUUUUCCUAAGCUGGUACUUGACGUUGGCCAGCCAGUGACUGAUAGUGGUCAUUGAGAGUCCCGUAAACUUAGAGAUUUGCAUACGCUCUUGUGGGCCCAGAUCAGACAGCAGGUAUUUGCCCUCUGAUGUCUGGAAGAGGCUCGAGGCAAACUGGGCUUGUAGAAUCAGAAGAUGCUGAGGAUUCCAGUUGGACUGCCGGCCUUUUCU
ensembl:lncRNA novel transcript, antisense to TSHZ2